AACCCAUGUUGUGGGCAUCGCCUUAAUAAAUCCUUGUACCUUUCCCAAGCUUCAAAGAGUGUCUCACCAUCUUGUUGAGUGAAAGAUACAAUGCCAUGUUGAAGUU